CUAAAAUUGGAUUGCAGCACUGAAUCUUUAUAGAAAUAUUUACAAGAAUACAACAAUAACACACAUUUAUGCAAGCGUGAGAGAUGCCCUUUUGGCAUUGCUCUCCUCCCUGCAAACUCCUCAAGUUUGUUUCUUUGCCCGGAUGGAAUGACGUGGAACUUACACAAUGCUGGAGGCAAGUUUGGUUACCAAAAAAAUAAUUUCCCCUCAUCCUGCUGCUAUGGAAGUAGUACAAGUAGGAACAGCGGGAAAGCCCAGAAUUUUGACGAAAGAAUCCCUUCAGAAGAUGAAGAUGGCAAGGGUGAAGUUGACGUAAAUCUGUCAGGAGGCUGUGCAACAGAAUUACUCCUUGAUGGAGGAUGAACAUGAGCAUACACUACACCAGCAAGUACAUGCUCCAACUCCUACCCCACAUGAAAUCACUGCAUCAAGUCCAUUGCCCAAUGU
rnacentral:misc_RNA from 1 species